GACGAACGCUGGCGGCGUGCUUAACACAUGCAAGUCGAACGGAAAGGCCCUGCUUUUGUGGGGUGCUCGAGUGGCGAACGGGUGAGUAACACGUGAGUAACCUGCCCUUGACUUUGGGAUAACUUCAGGAAACUGGGGCUAAUACCGGCUAGGAGCUCCUGCUGCAUGGUGGGGGUUGGAAAGUUUCGGCGGUUGGGGAUGGACUCGCGGCUUAUCAGCUUGUUGGUGGGGUAGUGGCUUACCAAGGCUUUGACGGGUAGCCGGCCUGAGAGGGUGACCUGCCACAUUGGGACGGAGAUGCGACCCAGACUCCUACGGGAGGCAGCAGUGGGGAAUAUUGCACAAUGGGCGGAAGCCUGAUGCAGCAACGCCGCGUGCGGGAUGACGGCCUUCGGGUUGUAAACCGCAUUCGCCUGUGACGAAGCGUGAGUGACGGUAAUGGGUAAAGAAGCACCGGCUAACUACGUG
rnacentral:rRNA from 1 species